AUGGGUCAGCGACUUACGUUCAAUGGCAAGCUUAACCGAGUAGGGGAGGCGCAGCGAAAGCGAGUCCGAACAGGGCGAUAUGAGUCGUUGGGCGUAGACCCGAAACCAGAUGAUCUAUCCAUGGCCAGGCUGAAGGUGUGGUAACACACACUGGAGGGCCGAACCGACUAGUGUUGCAAAAUUAGCGGAUGAGCUGUGGAUAGGGGUGAAAGGCUAAACAAAUCUGGAGAUAGCUGGUUCUCCCCGAAAACUAUUGAGGUAGUGCCUCGUGUAUGGCUCCAGGGGGUAGAGCACUGUUAUGGCUAGGGGGACAUGGCGUCUUACCAAACCAUGGCAAACUCCGAAUACUUGGAAGUCUGAGCACGGGAGACAGAGCACCGGGUGCUAACGUCCGGACUCAAAAGGGAAACAACCCAGACCGCCGGCUAAGGUCCCUAAUAUUGACUAAGUGGAAAACGAAGUGGGAAGGCUAAGACAGUCAGGAAGUUGGCUUAGAAGCAGCCAUCCUUCAAAGAAAGCGUAAUAGCUCACUGAUCGAGUCUUCCUGCGCGGAAGAUGUAACGGGGCUAAGUCAAUAACCGAAGCCGCGGAUUCGCAGCAAUGCGAGUGGUAGGGGAGCGUUCUGUAAGCCUGCGAAGGCGGAUCUGCGAGGACCGCUGGAGGUAUCAGAAGUGCGAAUGCUGACAUGAGUAACGUUAAAGCGGGUGAAAAGCCCGCUCGCCGCAAGCCCAAGGUUUCCUGCUCUACGUUCAUCGGAGCAGGGUGAGUCGGCCCCUAAGGUCAGGCUGAGAAGCGUAGCUGAUGGGAAGCUGGUUAAUAUUCCAGCACCGAUUUCAAGUGCGAAGGGGGGACGGAGUCCUGAAGGUCAUCCGGGUGUUGGAUAUCCCGGUUUACGAGCGUAGGAGGUUGACAGGCAAAUCCGUCAACGGAUCUCCAAGGCGAAGGAUCGAGGUUGAGAGAUCAACUGAAGUGACUGAAUGGGCUUCCAGGAAAAGCCUCUAAGCAUCAGCUUGGAAUUGACCGUACCGCAAACCGACACUGGUGGGCGAGCUGAAUAUGCUCAGGCGCUUGAGAGAACUCAGGAGAAGGAACUCGGCAAAUUGACACCGUAACUUCGGGAUAAGGUGUGCCUUUGUAGUGUGAAGGGAGAAACACCCCGAGCAUGAAGAGGCCUCAGAGAAUCGGUGGCUGCAACUGUUUACUAAAAACACAGCACUCUGCAAAGAUGAAAGUCGACGUAUAGGGUGUGAUGCCUGCCCGGUGCUGGAAGAUUAAUUGAUGGGGUGCAAGCUCCUGAUCGAAGUCCCAGUAAACGGCGGCCGUAACUAUAACGGUCCUAAGGUAGCGAAAUUCCUUGUCGGGCAAGUUCCGACCUGCACGAAUGGCAUAAUGAUGGCCACACUGUCUCCUCCUGAGACUCAGUGAAGUUGAAAUGUUUGUGAUGAUGCAAUCUCCCCGCGGCUAGACGGAAAGACCCCAUGAACCUUUACUGCAGCUUUGCAUUGGACUUUGAACCGAUCUGUGUAGGAUAGGUGGGAGGCAGUGAAGCUAGGACGCCAGUCUUAGCGGAGCCAACCUUGAAAUACCACCCUGAUUUGUUUGAGGUUCUAACCUAGGAGCGUAAUCCGCUUCGGGGACCGUGCAUGGUAGGCAGUUUGACUGGGGCGGUCUCCUCCUAAAGGGUAACGGAGGAGUGCGAAGGUACGCUAGGUACGGUCGGAAAUCGUGCUGAUAGUGCAAUGGCAAAAGCGUGCUUGACUGCGAGACCGACAAGUCGAGCAGAUACGAAAGUAGGUCAUAGUGAUCCGGUGGCUCUGCAUGGAAGGGCCAUCGCUCAACGGAUAAAAGGUACUCUGGGGAUAACAGGCUGAUACCGCCCAAGAGUUCAUAUCGACGGCGGUGUUUGGCACCUCGAUGUCG
rnacentral:rRNA from 1 species